CCUUAAUUUCCACCUGUGUGGGAUUUGUAUUGCAAAUAUAAACCCACUACUGACUCACAGAGCUUGCUCACUGGAGUUUGCUUGAAAGUAGGCUAUUUCAAGUAGUCUCUUUUAAGUAGGAGUUAAAACAACAGGAGUUUGUUGGUGGACUGUGGUUGGUAUUAGUUAAUACCAAGUGGAAAAGAAAAGCAGGUUUAAAUGUUAGUAUUUGUUUGUUUGUUUUUUUUUUCUCUCUUUUUGGGUUUUGUUUUG